UUACGAUCGGAAUACGUGAAAAUGUUUUUUUAUCGCAAAGUUGGGUAUUUACACUUGGCGUCGUUGUACCGCUUUUACAUAAUUUAGUUAUGAGACAUUUAUUAUGUAAUUUAUCGAGACACGCUUGAGAGAGGCUGGUUACGUAACUUCCUACAUGAGGCUUUACCGCGUGAAUUACCGUGCUGAAGUGCUUCGAGAUAUUCUAACGCCUCGAAUCGAAGGUUGUGAAUUUAAUCUGGAUUAUUUUUUUUUACGAUUUUUCAUCUUGUUCACAUGUUUUAAUCGAAAUAUUUAUUAUAUUUAUACCAUGGACAACGUCAGUGUAGUAUUUGUUGUUUAUUUUGGAAUGCAGAAUUGCUGGGUGAUGUCAGCCAUGUUGCUACAUAAAUCAUGACAUGAAGUGAUCGUUACCAAGCUCUCUUCCAAGGAUCAGCGGCGAGUUUAUGUAUGUUAAUGGAGGAAAUGGAUGGAACACCUUAAAUAUAAAGGCUAAGUUCCCAGCUCCAUUAUCGUAACCUCUGGAGAACACGACUAUACAAUUACGAUAUUAAUAUUUAUUUUCCUAUUGUUCGACCGUUUGCAAUAAUUUCAUGUUUUCUACUUCGUAUCUUUUUGCAUCUUAUGUUUUAUAUUUUAUUUAUUUUCUUUUUUUUUUAUUUAUUUUCCUUUUGUAAUAUUAAAGAUUUUAUAAACUAAUAUAAA